rnacentral:rRNA from 1 species
UACGUAGGGUGCAAGCGUUGUCCGGAAUUAUUGGGCGUAAAGAGCUCGUAGGCGGCUUGUCACGUCGGCUGUGAAAACCCGGGGCUCAACCCCGGGCCUGCAGUCGAUACGGGCAAGCUAGAGUUCGGCAGGGGAGACUGGAAUUCCUGGUGUAGCGGUGAAAUGCGCAGAUAUCAGGAGGAACACCGGUGGCGAAGGCGGGUCUCUGGGCCGAGACUGACGCUGAGGCGCGAAAGCGUGGGGAGCAAACAGG